rnacentral:rRNA from 1 species
AGCUCCAAUAGCGUAUAUUAAAGUUGUUGCAGUUAAAAGGCUCGUAGUCGAAUUUGUAGUACUUUAGCCUCGUCCCAUCCUUAGGGAUGUUUGUGACGAAGCUGGGAACUUUCUUGGUGGAGACAAUCUUCUGCCCUUCACUGGGUUGGUUGAUGGAUCUACCACAUUUACUGUGAGAAAAACAAGGUGCUCAAAGCAGGCUUUAUAGCUUGAAUGCGUUAGCAUGGAAUAAUAAGAUAGGACUUUGUUUCUAUUU